rnacentral:rRNA from 1 species
UGGGGGAUAUUGCACAAUGGGGGAAACCCUGAUGCAGCGACGCCGCGUGGAGGAAGAAGGUUUUCGGAUUGUAAACUCCUGUCGUUAGGGACGAUAAUGACGGUACCUAACAAGAAAGCACCGGCUAACUACGUGCCAGCAGCCGCGGUAAAACGUAGGGUGCAAGCGUUAUCCGGAUUUACUGGGUGUAAAGGGAGCGCAGACGGCAUGGCAAGCCAGAUGUGAAAGGUGGGGGCUCAACCCCCAAGCUGCAUUUGGAACUGUCAAGCUAGAGUAUCGGAGAGGUAAGUGGAAUUCCUAGUGUAGCGGUGAAAUGCGUAGAUAUUAGGAGGAACACCAGUGGCGAAGGCGGCUUACUGGACGAUAACUGACGUUGAGGCUCGAAAGCGUGGGGAGCAAACAGGAUUAGAUACCCUGGUAGU